rnacentral:rRNA from 1 species
UACGGAGGGUGCGAGCGUUGUCCGGAUUCACUGGGUUUAAAGGGUGUGUAGGCGGAUUUUUAAGUCAGUGGUGAAAUCUCCGGGCUCAACCCGGAAACUGCCAUUGAUACUAUUAGUCUUGAAUUCUGUUGAGGUGGGCGGAAUACAUCAUGUAGCGGUGAAAUGCUUAGAUAUGAUGUAGAACACCGAUUGCGAAGGCAGCUCACUAAGCAGCGAUUGACGCUGAGGCACGAAAGCGUGGGGAUCAAACAGG